GAUGAAGAACGUAGCGAAAUGCGAUACUUGGUGUGAAUUGCAGAAUCCCGUGAACCAUCGAGUCUUUGAACGCAAGUUGCGCCCGAAGCCAUCAGGUUGAGGGCACGUCUGCCUGGGCGUCACAUAUCGUUGCCCAAUGCCUAUUGCAGUGCAAUAGGAAUUUCUAGGGCGAAUGAUGGCUUCCCGUGAGCGUUGUUGCCUCGCGGUUGGUUGAAAAUCGAGUCCUUGGUAGGGUGUGCCAUGGUAGAUGGUGGUCGAGUUAGAACGAUACCGAUCAUGUGCAUGCUCCCCAAAAUAUGGCCUCUAUGACCCCCACGCGUCUUUUGACGCUCAUGACGAGACCUCAGGUCAGGCGGGGCUACCCGCUGAAUUUAAGCAUAUCAAUAAGCGGAGGA
rnacentral:misc_RNA from 1 species